AUCCUUUUGUGGUUCAUAAGCGUGAUGAUUGGGUGUUCACAUGCAUGCGUGACAUGUGCCACCCUCAAACCUUGUUUUGCACCGGCACAUUACUUGUCUGAUG